rnacentral:rRNA from 1 species
AUUGAACGCUGGCGGCAUGCUUUACACAUGCAAGUCGAACGGUAACAGGCCUUCGGGUGCUGACGAGUGGCGAACGGGUGAGUAAUGCAUCGGAACGUACCCAGAGGUGGGGGAUAACGCAGCGAAAGCUGUGCUAAUACCGCAUGUGAUCUGAGGAUGAAAGCGGGGGACCGAGCAGCAAUGUUUGGCCUCGCGCCUUUGGAGCGGCCGAUGUCGGAUUAGCUAGUUGGUGGGGUAAAGGCCUACCAAGGCGACGAUCCGUAGCUGGUCUGAGAGGACGACCAGCCACACUGGGACUGGGACAGGGCCCAGACUCCUACGGGAGGCAGCAGUGGGGAAUUUUGGACAAUGGGCGCAAGCAUGAUCCAGCAAUGCCGCGUGCGGGAAGAAGGCCUUCGGGUUGUAAACCGCUUUUGGCAGGAACGAAACGGUGUCCGCUAAUACCGGGCGCUAAUGACGGUACCUGGAGAAUAAGCACCGGCUAACUACGUG